rnacentral:rRNA from 1 species
UCGAAACCUGCAAAAUAGACACGUGAACAUGUUCAGAUAAAAGCUUGUGGUCGUGAUGUUGGAUGCCUCUGUGUCCAACAUCAAGGCCUCUACCGACCCCAAGCGGUGCAAGGUUGCUCGCUUGGGUGUUGUAACAUCCGGCGCGGCAAGCGCCAAGGAAAACCUUACCGAUGACCUCUCCUUCAGGGGUGCUGUCCGCGGUACCCAAGAUGUGAUGAGGAUCGCCUAAUUGAACAGAUAUAACGACUCUCGGCAACGGAUAUCUCGGCUCUCGCAUCGAUGAAGAACGUAGCGAAAUGCGAUACUUGGUGUGAAUUGCAGAAUCCCGUGAACCAUCGAGUCUUUGAACGCAAGUUGCGCCCGAAGCCAUCAGGCCGAGGGCACGUCUGCCUGGGCGUCACGCAUCACGUCGCUCCCCCGACAUCCUCUCCCCCACCUAGUGUCGGGAUGACGAUGCAUGCAAAGGAGGGGGCGGAUAUUGGCCUCCCGUUAUCUCUGUAUAGCGGCCGGCCCAAAUAGCAUACCGUGUCAAUGAUGUCACACGAUAUGUGGUGGUUGGUUUCUUCAACUUGCGAACUAUCGUGUGGGCGACCCAAUGGGAACAUAUGGCACGAUCACGACCCAAUGGCACCAGAUGCCCUCGAUUGCG